rnacentral:rRNA from 1 species
GAUGAACGCUGGCGGCGUGCUUAACACAUGCAAGUCGAACGAACCUUCGGGUUAGUGGCGGACGGGUGAGUAACGCGUGAGAAUCUGCCCUCAGGAGGGGGAUAACGGUUGGAAACGACCGCUAAUACCCCAUAUGCCGAUAGGUGAAAUGAAUUUCGCCUGAGGAUGAGCUCGCGUCUGAUUAGCUUGUUGGUGAGGUAAUGGCUCACCAAGGCUUCGAUCAGUAGCUGGUCUGAGAGGAUGAUCAGCCACACUGGGACUGAGACACGGCCCAGACUCCUACGGGAGGCAGCAGUGGGGAAUUUUCCGCAAUGGGCGAAAGCCUGACGGAGCAACGCCGCGUGAGGGACGAAGGCCUCUGGGCUGUAAACCUCUUUUCUCAAGGAAGAAGAUAUGACGGUACUUGAGGAAUAAGCCACGGCUAAUUCCGUGCCAGCAGCCGCGGUAAUACGGGAGUGGCAAGCGUUAUCCGGAAUUAUUGGGCGUAAAGCGUCCGCAGGCGGCCUUUCAAGUCUGCUGUUAAAGCGUGGAGCUUAACUCCAUUAUGGCAGUGGAAACUGAUCGGCUUGAGUAUGGUAGGGGCAGAGGGAAUUCCCGGUGUAGCGGUGAAAUGCGUAGAUAUCGGGAAGAACACCAGUGGCGAAGGCGCUCUGCUGGGCCAUUACUGACGCUCAUGGACGAAAGCCAGGGGAGCGAAAGGGAUUAGAUACCCCUGUAGUCCUGGCCGUAAACGAUGAACACUAGGUGUCGGGGGAAUCGACCCCUUCGGUGUCGUAGCUAACGCGUUAAGUGUUCCGCCUGGGGAGUACGCACGCAAGUGUGAAACUCAAAGGAAUUGACGGGGGCCCGCACAAGCGGUGGAGUAUGUGGUUUAAUUCGAUGCAACGCGAAGAGCCUUACCAGGGUUUGACAUCCUGAGAACCUCUUAGAAAUUUGAGGGUGCCUUCGGGAAUUCAGUGACAGGUGGUGCAUGGCUGUCGUCAGCUCGUGUCGUGAGAUGUUGGGUUAAGUCCCGCAACGAGCGCAACCCACGUUUUUAGUUGCCAGCAUUUAGUUGGGCACUCUAGAAAGACCGCCGGUGAUAAACCGGAGGAAGGUGUGGAUGACGUCAAGUCAUCAUGCCCCUUACACCCUGGGCUACACACGUACUACAAUGCUACGGACAAAGGGCAGCAAACUCGCGAGAGCUAGCAAAUCCCAUAAACCGUGGCUCAGUUCAGAUCGUAGGCUGCAACUCGCCUACGUGAAGUAGGAAUCGCUAGUAAUCGCAGGUCAGCAUACUGCGGUGAAUACGUUCCCGGGCCUUGUACACACCGCCCGUCACACCAUGGAAGUUGGCCAUGCCCGAAGUCGUUACUCCAACCCUUGUGGAGGAGGACGCCGAAGGUGGGGCUAAUGACUGGGGUGAAGUCGUAACAAGGUAGCCGUACCGGAAGGUGCGGCUGGAUCACCUCCU